GUCCACGCGGUAAACGAUGGGCACUAGGUGUGGGGGGUAUCCACUCCUCCCGUGCCGAAGCUAACGCAUUAAGUGCCCCGCCUGGGGAGUACGGCCGCAAGGUUAAAACUCAAAGGAAUUGACGGGGGCCCGCACAAGCGGUGGAGCAUGUGGUUUAAUUCGACGCAACGCGAAGAACCUUACCUGGGCUUGACAUCCCGGGAACCUCCUGGAAACAGGGGGGUGCCCCCGAAAGGGGGAGCCCGGAGACAGGUGCUGCAUGGCUGUCGU
rnacentral:rRNA from 1 species